CGGGGCGUGGCGCAGCCUGGUAGCGCGCCUGCUUCGGGAGCAGGAGGUCCGGAGUUCAAAUCUCCGCGCCCCGACCA
rnacentral:tRNA from 1 species